rnacentral:rRNA from 1 species
CAGCAGCCGCGGUAAUACGAAGGGGGCUAGCGUUGUUCGGAUUAACUGGGCGUAAAGGGCGCGUAGGCGGGUUUUUAAGUCAGAGGUGAAAUCCCAAGGCUCAACCUUGGAACUGCCUUUGAUACUGGAAAUCUUGAGUCCGGGAGAGGUGAGUGGAACUGCGAGUGUAGAGGUGAAAUUCGUAGAUAUUCGCAAGAACACCAGUGGCGAAGGCGGCUCACUGGCCCGGUACUGACGCUGAGGCGCGAAAGCGUGGGGAGCAAACAGGAUUAGAUACCCGCGUAGUCCCUGUCUCUUAUAC